GGUCACUCUCCUUUGUCAAAUUCCAGAGGGUUCUAACCAUAAUGCUUCAGCUGCUACAGUUGGCAUAAUCAAGUUGUUGAUUGGGCACUUUGAUUUGGAUCCAAACCGAGUCUUUGAUAUUGUUUUGGAGUGUUUUGAACGUCAGCCUGGUAAAUAGUAUAUUUUUGGACUUGAUUCCCAUAUUUCCCAAGUCCCAUGCCUCCCAGAUUCUGGGGUUUAAGUUUCAAUACUACCAACGCCUGGAAGUAAAUGAUCCUGUUCCAAGUGAACUUUAUCAGCUGACGGCCUUGCUGGUGAAAAGAGACUUCAUUUAUGUUGAUAGCAU